rnacentral:rRNA from 1 species
ACGGAAGGCAGCAGUGAGGAAUAUUGGUCAAUGGACGCAGGUCUGAACCAGCCGAGUCGCGUGAGGGAUGGCGGUCCUAUGGAUUGUAAACCUCUUUUGUCGGGGAGUAACGUGCGGGACGUGUCCCGUAUUGAGAGUACCCGAAGAAAAAGCAUCGGCUAACUCCGUGCCAGCAGCCGCGGUAAUACGGAGGAUGCGAGCGUUAUCCGGAUUUAUUGGGUUUAAAGGGAGCGCAGGCGGCGCGUCAAGUCAGCGGUAAAAUGGCGGGGCUCAACCCCGGCCGGCCGUUGAAACUGCCGUGCUCGAGUGCGUGCGAGGAGAGCGGAAUGCGUGGUGUAGCGGUGAAAUGCAUAGAUAUCACGCAGAACGCCGAUUGCGAAGGCAGCCCUCCAGCACGGGACUGACGCUGAGGCUCGAAAGCGUGGGUAUCGAACAGGAUUAGAUACCCUGGUA